UUCUAUGGAGAGUUUGAUCCUGGCUCAGGACGAACGCUGGCGGCGUGCUUAACACAUGCAAGUCGAGCGAUGAAACUACUUCGGUAGUGAAUUAGCG
rnacentral:rRNA from 1 species